AUGAGAGAGAGAGAGCACAUGAGAGGGGGGAGGGUCAGAGGCAGAAGCAGACUCCCUGCCGAGCAGGGAGCCCGAUGCGGGACUCGAUCCAGGGACUCCAGGAUCAUGACCUGAGCCGAAGGCAGUCGCUUAACCAACUGAGCCACCCAGGCGCCCAGAGAUGGCUUUUAUGAUAUUGAGAUGUUGAACCAUCCUUGCAUCCCUGGAAUAAAUCCCACCUGAUUAUGAAUUCAAUGGUGAAGCAACUUUCUUCUGGAUAUGCCUCCCCAGGCAAGGGAAACAAAGGCAAACACAAGCAAAUGGGACUGCAGCAAACUAAAAAGCUUUCGCACAGCAAAGGAAAUCAUCAACAAAAUGAAAAGUAAUUAGCCUGAAAAUAGGCACCUAACCCAAGUCUGCAGCUGAUCCAUGGAAUUUGGGGAUUUAUGGGCAUUGACCGAAUGUACUGACUGCGUCUGCAGAAAUCCCUGUGGAACUCCUUCUCACUGGAUAGAAUGACGCUAACACAGAGGGGUGUGGCAAGAAAAGGACCCACAGGUGGAUGGAUAGCUAGAUGGAGAUUCCUGGUGCUGGAGGAGUCCUUGGAAGAAGUUGGG